CACAGCACAUUGCAGAUUCUAUAUGCGCAAUGCCAUAGAAAUGCAGGUUCCACCCCUUUUGUCAGUCUGCAGAAUAUUCACAGUGAAGCCACAUGCUGCUGUGAGGCUGUGAUGUCACCACCAUGUACCUGGCAACACACUGUGAUGUCAUAAGAAGAGGUUCACGAUGACUUUGUGGCUGGUUCGGGCAGAAAGAGACACUCUGUCUUUAACUCUAGCAGUGGGGGAACACCGACCAGGUCAGUUGCUUUCUAUAAUCAGGAUUUUUAUCCCCUCCCCCCACAAUGCCUGCUGUGAUGUAAAAGUCCCUAUUCCAGAGUAAAACGUGGGAGGAGGCUCAGAAGUGACAACAGUGAGGUACGGGCCCCUUACCUAGGUGACUGGAGCAGGGGCUACAGCUGAACUCUCAGUGCUGGAGCUCCGCACAGCUAACUCCCAGCCAGAGGCUAGGACAAGGCAUCAGCUAGGUGCUGGUACCAAUUAGCAGUCUCAAUGGGGUUAUUACAGGACAAGCUCUGUUUAACUUAACUGCUAACAGACUGGCUCUGUCAGCUGGAAGGAAUCACAGGCAAACAGACUUAAUGGCAGCCUGGGGGAGUGGGGGUGGGGAGAAUGGUCCCUUCCUUUCCUAUACCCAGUGUAUUUGAUACAGUGCAAAUGUAACCGUCCUGUGAAACAUGUGUACAAGGAGGAGUCAGAAAUCAUUAAAGUCGGGUGUAUUGGUCAAUCCAAGUUUUGCUGAGUGACAUGAAUCCCAUGGAACCUGCUGGCCCUUUGACACAACAACCUCGUGGGGUCCUCUUGUCACCAGAGGCCAACAACAAGGCCACACAGCUGCUCAGCAUGUACGAGCUGUGUGAACUGAAAGGAUUCGCACCUAUACUUUCUUACAGACCUAGUGUCACUUUUGGGAGAGUCUGACAAACACAGCUCCCAGGCUAAGGACCUGACUCCCAUUCUGACCAUGGUCAGCAGCAGCCCUGUGCUGUUGGAUUCCACUGUUAGACCUUGUUCUCCCAGCGUGACACCUGUCAAUCCUGACUCCGACUUGGAAACACGGCACAGCCUGGUCUGGGGACCCUGGAGUUCUGCUGAAGACACCGACAUGAGUGUAAAUGGAUUAAAACACAAUCGUGGCUGGAGCAGCUCCCUGCAGCACUGCUCAGCAUGGCCAGCCUUUCGCUCCCUGUGCUUGGUUGAGGGAAGGGAGAAGCACAUCCUGCUCCAUGUUUCCCUUACACACUGGACUCUGGCUCCUGCCUUACGUGAACCAAUGUCCAGUGAAGUCAAUGGUAAGAUUCCCCAUUGAGUUUAGUGGGUUUUGGAUCAGACUCUUAAAGCCACAGAUCUUUUUUGGAUAUGGAGCAGUCUUGGUACCACCUUUCUGAGAGCAGAAAUAUCAUCAGCCCUGUUAAAGGGAAGGCGUGGGGCAGCGGGAGCCGAGGCCGGGGGUGGGGAAAGGCUGCACAAAACCAAGCCCUGCAGUGUUGCUCACAUCACAAUUGCACUGGCAUUGAUCUGUCAUCUGUGAACUCUCCUAGCUGAACCAAAGGGCCUGCCCUCUCAAACUCUGCAUGACUGAGAUUGGGAGCCUGAGCGAGGGGACUAUUUGACUUGCACACAUGGACACCUGGCUUCAGGGAUAGCUCAUCUUUGCCUCUAGUGACAAAAUCAAAAAGCCUCCAGGAAAUUUGGCCUGAUGAUGAAUCCUGGAGCUGCUAUCAGGCAGAACUAGCAUCUCCAAACGGGGUAGCCUGCCUUGGAAUUCCGAAUGGAUAAUAAUGCUAAAUGGCCAUGUGUGUGAAAAUGCCCUACGCUAAUGGGCGCUGCUACUGCUGCGACACAUCAUCUAGACAGAGAUUGAUGUCAUUAGUACUUAGUAUUUGUUAAGAACCAACAGCGUACCUGUUGCUGAAAAAGACACAGAAGAUAUGGACAGUGUACUGUGCAAACUUGACAUGCUUGGGAAGCAUUUGAACUUGCAUUUGACUGAAGUAAUAAAGGUCAGGGUGAGAGGCAUGGAGAGAGCUGUGUGAGGGGAGCCCAGGGCUGGGAUAGCAGGGGGGCUGCAGGUCAGGGGUGAGGGGCACUGGUAGAGCUCUGUGUGGGAUGCUCAGGGCUAGGAUAGCUGGGGACUGCAGGUCAGGGGUGAGGGGCAUUGGCUGAGCUGUACCAAUCUAGAUGGCAUUUGCAGUGCACAAUGGUGCAUGAAAUGAUGGGUGGAAGUCACCAACAAACAAAGCAUCGAGGUGCAUUAGCACAACAUACCCAGCUCCCUACUUACUGAGGACCCAGUGCACGGUCCUGGCUUUUAAAAAAUGCAUGAAAGGACAUGCCAACAACAAACCCCACAUGCACACAACCCCCCCAGUCCCAAAGAAUGCUCAAAGUGCUAUGGAAUUCCUUUAAGAUGCCCCAAAUCUCCCCUAAUCUUGGUGUCAGGAUUCAGCAUUUCUGAUGUCAAUAGUGUUUGGUUAUAAGCAGCGGCAUCAUGCCAGGUUCCCUGUGGGUCAGAGGGAACACUGGAUUCAAGAGAGGUGUUAUAAUUGGUAGUGAAGAGCAGCUGAGAUGCUCACGCAGAGCUCUGACCAAAGCAUGUGGCUCUUGCUUUGAAUGGUCCUACUUCCAUUGGAAAAGAAAACCAAAAUGAAGAUCUGAAGGCAUUGUGCGUACGUGGAGCUGCACAAUCCCUUCAUAACCAGUGGGGCUCUGGGGCUGGAAAGGUCCCAUGCUGCUGGGCUUUGCAAAUGAACUGUCCCCGGUAAAGUCUGGUCUGCAGUCUACAGAGAGGAUGUGGCAGCGUGUGCAAAAACAGGUAGGGAAGAGAAGAAUGGCCCCCGAAGGAGAAAAAUUCCAGUAAAGCAGAAUGGACAGAGCAGCUGAAUAGGAAGCAGUUUUCAUCAAGUAGUUCCUCACCCGCACACCACACGCACAGGGGCCACCCCCUUUGAUAAACCUCCAGGCUGCGGCCGGGAAGAUUAUGAGAGAUACCGACUGCUGGGAAAUGUAGAUGGGAUGGAUCCAAAUAGCUCGGCCUAGAUGUGAUCUUUGAACAAACAGGUGCAACAUUGAGACACCAGCAUGAGACAGCCCAGCCAAUAAUGCAAACAGCUUGAACUUGCUCGCAGUGUGGGGGAAGGGCCUCCCCAAGAGCAGCCCUAGGAGGGAAAGGAAAGGGUUAAAGAGCUAAUUGGGCCCCGCACAGCACAUCCACCACCUCACCUCGUGUGACACAAGUCAUGAGACCAGGGGAGGGCAAGGAGCAGUUUUCUUUCUCUCCUGUUUGCUGAACCUCUAAUUAUCAUUUUUGUGCAAGGCAAGGAGAUGGAAUUCCAUUGUGCGUCAGCUGGGAGAGCCUCCUGAAUGGGGUUUUUCUUCUUUUCUUAAAGGGGACAGUCCUUCCUAAUCCUCUUUCUCGCUGUGGACGGAACUGCUCUCCUUCAAAAGCCUUCCCAAGAGCGCCUGGGUUUGUAAAUGAUUUUAGCCGCCACGCAAGUUGCUGGGCUGAUGUCUCCCCAGGGUCUCUGUUGAUCCCCAAACCGCUUCAGCACAGGCAGGAGCAGGGCAAGUGUAUCACACCCCUUGCCUCAAUUCUGACUUACAGAGACCACCUCUAGGGGAGAGAGGGGAGUUCAGCCUCAGUGGCCCGUUUACUCCUUGGCCGCUCUGCUGAGGCUGUCAAGCAGGGGGCCAAUCAGUGCUGGUUGUGGAGGUGUGUUCUGUGAGACAGGUGCUUGUCCACUAGGAACUGGUCCAAGAUCCCCCCGUCAUUUCACACAGGCCCUGAACAGCAAUCUGGUGGUAAUAACCGUGGGUCACUAGAAAGUGACCUUGAGGUGAAAGACUUCAUAUCUCAUUACUGGUUCCCUAAGCCAUCAACCCACUUGGUCUCUUUGAAUCAGAAAAUGGUAUUGAACCCAUUUGAGAAAGUUCCCUGCUGGCUGGUGUUCAGUCUUGUGUGUUUCCCAGCAGAUACGUGGGAACUAUAAUUAAAAUCCUCCAUGACUACCAAGUGCUGGGACUUUGCCAUUGAUGUUAUGUGAUUAGGCAGGAAUUUAUUGAUUGCUUUUUUUCUGCUGUGCAUGUUUUGUAGCUGAUGCUAACUCUGAUUCUUCUUUCCUCCCCUCCCCCUUUAUGAUGUGUGUCUAACUUUAGCCAUUAAACUUUGCUUUUUGU